CUACGGGACGCAGCAGUAGGGAAUAUUGGACAAUGGGCGGAAGCCUGAUCCAGCCAUGCCGCGUGCAGGAAGACGGCCCUCUGGGUUGUAAACUGCUUUUAUAUGGGAAGAAAAUGGCUUUGCGAAGCAAAUUGACGGUACCAUAGGAAUAAGCCACGGCUAACUACGUGCCAGCAGCCGCGGUAAUACGCAGGUGGCGAGCGUUAUCCGGAUUUAUUGGGUUUAAAGGGUGCGUAGGCGGCUUUAUAAGUCGGUGGUGAAAGGUAGCAGCUUAACUGUUUUACAUGCCAUCGAUACUGAAGAGCUUGAGUUAUCAGAAGGCAGGCGGAAUUUCUGGUGUAGCGGUGAAAUGCAUAGAUACCAGAAGGAACACCUAUUGCGAAGGCAGCUUGCUGCAGAUAAACUGACGCUGAUGCACGAAAGCGUGGGGAGCGAACAGGAUUAGAUACCCCAGUAGUC
rnacentral:rRNA from 1 species